GACGAACGCUGGCGGCGUGCCUAAUACAUGCAAGUUGAGCGCUGAAGGUUGGUACUUGUACCAACUGGAUGAGCAGCGAACGGGUGAGUAACGCGUGGGGAAUCUGCCUUUGAGCGGGGGACAACAUUUGGAAACGAAUGCUAAUACCGCAUAAAAACUUUAAACACAAGUUUUAAGUUUGAAAGAUGCAAUUGCAUCACUCAAAGAUGAUCCCGCGUUGUAUUAGCUAGUUGGUGAGGUAAAGGCUCACCAAGGCGAUGAUACAUAGCCGACCUGAGAGGGUGAUCGGCCACAUUGGGACUGAGACACGGCCCAAACUCCUACGGGAGGCAGCAGUAGGGAAUCUUCGGCCAUUGACGAAAGUCUGACCGAGCAACGCCGCGUGAGUGAAGAAGGUUUUCGGAUCGUAAAACUCUGUUGGUAGAGAAGAACGUUGGUGAGAGUGGAAAGCUCAUCAAGUGACGGUAACUACCCAGAAAGGGACGGCUAACUACGUG
rnacentral:rRNA from 1 species